UCCUGACGACAUCUUUACCUGACAGUAUUAGAAGUUUCAAUUUCAAUCUAAUGCUGCCCGGUAAGAUGUGAACAGA
rnacentral:pre_miRNA from 1 species